UAUGUCCUCUUGAGGUAAUAUCACAGAAC
rnacentral:piRNA from 1 species